rnacentral:tRNA from 1 species
AGAAGAUAAGGAAAACCCAUUUGAUUUGAAACCAAAGGUAGGACGUUCGACCCGUCCAUCUUCUUCC